CAGGCCACAGGCAAGCAGGAUUCUCUCUUGUUCCCCUGCCCCUCCCCUUCUCCAAUCCCUAUCCCCUGCCUUGGCAUGAGGGCCUCUAGAGAAAAGAACAUAAAAAUGAGUGGGCAGAAACAGCUGGAUACAGUCAGGAACACAACUGGCCUCCCGGGCUGUCUCCUGGUCCUUGUUUUGCUCCUCCCCCCACGCCCCUUCCUCCUCUGCAGACUUCUGAUAGGAGGACUGCAGCAGAGCUGGGGGAAGGGUGGGGAAUUAGAGUGGGGCUCGGUGAUGGGGUAGAAAGUUGUUCCAAAUAUUAACUGGUCUCGUGAGAUGUCUUCUUGGCUGGAGCCUGACCAUCUAACUUACUGUUUUUCCUCCAGCUGCUGCCUCCUCCUUUCCCUCUGCCACAGGCUGGAACGAAGGGCGGCGGGUGGUGGGGGGAGGAGAAGGAGGAGCAGCAAAGUUGGCCAGGUUCCUGCUGGCUGGGGGCCAGGACUGCCUCCCUAAACAAGCAAGCAGGGGCACAUACAGCCCUGGAUUGAGUCGUUGCCCUUAAUCAUCUGGCCACAGCAGGAACAAGAGGCUCCCGGAAAACCCUGGCUCUUGGCUAUCUCUUCCAUGAGCACACCCUGGCCCUGGGGCCUGAGAUCUCUCCAUGCAGAGGCAGCCAUGAACUGCGGGGGCAGCAGCAAGGCUGGCCACACCACCCACCCCGCCACCUCCGGCCCCGCCGCUCAACCAGCCAUCAGUCCCUUAACUGCCAGUGUUCGUGGACCAUGCAAAACAACCAACAGAUCCCAGCCAGCCUAGAAGCAGGCUCACAGUUUUCCAUGGAGGACUUGGAUAGUAAACUGAUCCUGGAUGUUGGCGACAUAUGCCACCUGAUCUACCUCAGCACCAUGAGGGCCUUUCCAGUGCGUUUCCCUGAUCUCCACACUCUUUGCCAUGUAUGCCCUGGUCAUCUUCUUCCAGGAGACAGAGGUCCAGCUGGAUUACUUCUCUGUCAACUUUACUACUACGGAACAUGGGAUGGAGGUAGGGGAAAAACAGCAGCAGCAGUAGCAGCAGAACAACGGUUUUGUUUACCGCCAUGCCCCACAUCUGCUAUACCUGAAGCUGCUCUGUCCCCUUUGGUUUGGAACUGAGCUCUUUGCCUGGACCAUUUCUUGCCUUGAUAAGGUGCGCUUCUUGUGUAGCCCUCUCAGUCUAGCUGAUAUCUUCUGUUUGUUCCCUGCAUUGGUGGAAUUGGUGGUAGGUGACAAGGCUGUACGGCAACUCUAUCUUAGCUGAAUCCUUGGGGCCAUUCGUUCUCUCUAUGUCCUCAAGCUGGUUCGUCUCCUGGGCUUCUUUGAAAAAUCCUUGGCCAUGAGAGUCCUUGUUCAUACCCUCCAUUCUUCCUGGAAAGAGGUGGUGCCUUUCUCCUGAUUUAGGUUGCUGAAAUCUUAUUCUUUGGCUUGUUCUUCCUCUAUGGGGAGCUCUUAGGCAUGUCCAUCUCAGGUCAAAGUGAGCCCCACUUGGGAGACAUCUUUACAUGUCUCUGGUGGACUGUCAUAACUCUCACUACUGUCGGCUAUGGAGAUGUCUAUCCCCUCUCUGCUUCGGGCCAACCCACUGCUGCUCUCACAGCCACUGCAGGCAUGUGCACUGGUAUCUUGCUGGUUCCUGUGCUCCUGAUCCGCUUCCAGCACUAUUAUGCUGUAGCCCUGGCUCGCCAGAAACUAAGGCCCAGUGGGACCCUGCAAAUAGGCCCAUUGAUCAAGAGGGAUGGACCCCACCUUCCCUUCUUUCCUUUUGCCAGUUUCUGGUUACAGAAAAGAAAGAGCCCCAGAUCAUGGCAAUUCCUGCUAGUCAGGAUCAGCUAACCAUUACCUGCAGGUCAUACUUUCCCUGUUAUCAAGGGGACACCCUGAAGGAAGGGACCUGGGGCAAGGCUAGCUAGGCUUCAGCUUUCCCUUGCCCUACCCUAGGCCUUUUUCUUAACCCUGGAGUGACCAGAAAGGAUAGAAAGUAGUUCUUCCGGGAUUAGUGCUAUAUCUCCCUCUCAACCAGUUCUCCUCUUCCAUUCCCUCAUCCCUGCCCCUGCCAUCUAGACUAGGGUCCAGAUGAGAGACUUCUGAGUGAUGGUAGCCAUAGGAUAUCAACAUCGAUUGCCUAUGAGUAUUAAUGGUGAUUGCCUGUGGGUAUUGAUAGUAAUUAUCUGUGAGUACCUGACAACAACUGGUUAUGGGUAUUGAUGGUAAUUGGUACCUUCAGUGCCCAAGCAUAGCCAGAUUGUAGCAUUGCUCCCCCUACUGCUCCUGGGACAAAUGCUCCUUAGAGCUAUAAGGGGGCCUUUGAAGGUCCCCAGAGAUUCCAAGCAGAUGCAGGUCAGUCAGGUCUGAACCAAAGCACUCUAACUCCACGAUAUCCUCUUCAUCCUUUUUUUUUUUUUUUUUUUGACGGAGU